GUGCAGCAGUCGCGAAACCUCCGCAAUGCGCGAAAGCGCGACGGGGCCACCCCGAGUGCCGCCCGCUGAGGGCGGCUUUUCCCCGGUGUAGACAGCCGGGGGAAUAAGGGGAGGGCAAGUCUGGUGUCAGCCGCUGCGGUAAUACCAGCUCCCCGAGUGGUGGGGACGAUUAUUGGGCCUAAAGCGUCCGUAGCCGGCCCGGCAAGUCUCCCGUUAAAUCCAGCGACCUAAUCGCUGGACUGCGGGAGAUACUGUCGGGCUAGGGGGCGGGAGAGGCCGGCGGUAUUCCCGGGGUAGGGGUGAAAUCCUAUAAUCCCGGGAGGACCACCAGUGGUGAAGGCUGCCGGCUGGAACGCGCCCGACGGUGAGGGACGAAAGCCGGGGGAGCGAACCGGAUUAGAUACCCCCGUAGU
rnacentral:rRNA from 1 species